UACGUAGGGACCAAGCGUUGUUCGGAUUUACUGGGCGUAAAGGGCGCGUAGGCGGCAAUUCAAGUCAGCUGUGAAAUCUCCGGGCUUAACUCGGAACGGUCAGCUGAUACUGCUUUGCUAGAGUGCAGAAGGGGCAAUCGGAAUUCUUGGUGUAGCGGUGAAAUGCGUAGAUAUCAAGAGGAACACCUGAGGUGAAGACGGGUUGCUGGGCUGACACUGACGCUGAGUGCGCGAAAGCUAGGGUAGCAAACGGGG
rnacentral:rRNA from 1 species